GAAUAGCCCCGAUAGUAAUGGAAAUCCUUUUGUUUUUUUGAGAAAAAAGCUGCUUAAUAUAACGAAAUUUUGUGGUGAAGAGAUGGUUUGUUUUGAAAACGAAAAAAAACAAAAGAUUGUAAUGGAUAGCGGGACAAGUG
rfam:Flavobacterium branchiophilum FL-15, complete genome.